UUAAGCGACUAAGCGUACACGGUGGAUGCCCUGGCAGUCAGAGGCGAUGAAGGACGUGCUAAUCUGCGAAAAGCGUCGGUAAGGUGAUAUGAACCGUUAUAACCGGCGAUGUCCGAAUGGGGAAACCCAGUGCAAUUCGUUGCACUAUCGUUAACUGAAUACAUAGGUUAACGAGGCGAACCGGGGGAACUGAAACAUCUAAGUACCCCGAGGAAAAGAAAUCAACCGAGAUUCCCCCAGUAGCGGCGAGCGAACGGGGAGCAGCCCAGAGUCUGAAUCAGCUUGUGUGUUAGUGGAACGGUCUGGAAAGUCCGACGGUACAGGGUGAUAGUCCCGUACACCAAAAUGCACAGGCUGUGAACUCGAAGAGUAGGGCGGGACACGUGGUAUCCUGUCUGAAUAUGGGGGGACCAUCCUCCAAGGCUAAAUACUCCUGACUGACCGAUAGUGAACCAGUACCGUGAGGGAAAGGCGAAAAGAACCCCGGCGAGGGGAGUGAAAAAGAACCUGAAACCGUGUACGUACAAGCAGUGGGAGCACCUUCGGGUGUGACUGCGUACCUUUUGUAUAAUGGGUCAGCGACUUAUAUUCUGUAGCAAGGUUAACCGUAUAGGGGAGCCGCAGGGAAACCGAGUCUUAACUGGGCGUUAAGUUGCAGGGUAUAGACCCGAAACCCGGUGAUCUAGCCAUGGGCAGGUUGAAGGUUGGGUAACACUAACUGGAGGACCGAACCGACUAAUGUUGAAAAAUUAGCGGAUGACUUGUGGCUGGGGGUGAAAGGCCAAUCAAACCGGGAGAUAGCUGGUUCUCCCCGAAAGCUAUUUAGGUAGCGCCUCGUGAACUCAUCUUCGGGGGUAGAGCACUGUUUCGGCUAGGGGGUCAUCCCGACUUACCAACCCGAUGCAAACUACGAAUACCGAAGAAUGUUAUCACGGGAGACACACGGCGGGUGCUAACGUCCGUCGUGAAGAGGGAAACAACCCAGACCGCCAGCUAAGGUCCCAAAGUCAUGGUUAAGUGGGAAACGAUGUGGGAAGGCACAGACAGCCAGGAUGUUGGCUUAGAAGCAGCCAUCAUUUAAAGAAAGCGUAAUAGCUCACUGGUCGAGUCGGCCUGCGCGGAAGAUGUAACGGGGCUAAACCAUGCACCGAAGCUGCGGCAGCGACACUAUGUGUUGUUGGGUAGGGGAGCGUUCUGUAAGCCUGCGAAGGUGUGCUGUGAGGCAUGCUGGAGGUAUCAGAAGUGCGAAUGCUGACAUAAGUAACGAUAAAGCGGGUGAAAAGCCCGCUCGCCGGAAGACCAAGGGUUCCUGUCCAACGUUAAUCGGGGCAGGGUGAGUCGACCCCUAAGGCGAGGCCGAAAGGCGUAGUCGAUGGGAAACAGGUUAAUAUUCCUGUACUUGGUGUUACUGCGAAGGGGGGACGGAGAAGGCUAUGUUAGCCGGGCGACGGUUGUCCCGGUUUAAGCAUGUAGGCUGAUUGUCCAGGCAAAUCCGGAUAAUCAAGGCUGAGGUGUGAUGACGAGGCACUACGGUGCUGAAGUAACAAAUGCCCUGCUUCCAGGAAAAGCCUCUAAGCAUCAGGUAACAUCAAAUCGUACCCCAAACCGACACAGGUGGUCAGGUAGAGAAUACCAAGGCGCUUGAGAGAACUCGGGUGAAGGAACUAGGCAAAAUGGUGCCGUAACUUCGGGAGAAGGCACGCUGGUGUGUAGGUGAAGUCCCUGCGGAUGGAGCUGAGACCAGUCGAAGAUACCAGCUGGCUGCAACUGUUUAUUAAAAACACAGCACUGUGCAAACACGAAAGUGGACGUAUACGGUGUGACGCCUGCCCGGUGCCGGAAGGUUAAUUGAUGGGGUUAUCCGUAAGGAGAAGCUCUUGAUCGAAGCCCCGGUAAACGGCGGCCGUAACUAUAACGGUCCUAAGGUAGCGAAAUUCCUUGUCGGGUAAGUUCCGACCUGCACGAAUGGCGUAAUGAUGGCCAGGCUGUCUCCACCCGAGACUCAGUGAAAUUGAACUCGCUGUGAAGAUGCAGUGUACCCGCGGCAAGACGGAAAGACCCCGUGAACCUUUACUAUAGCUUGACACUGAACAUUGAGCCUUGAUGUGUAGGAUAGGUGGGAGGCUUUGAAGCGUGGACGCCAGUCUGCGUGGAGCCAACCUUGAAAUACCACCCUUUAAUGUUUGAUGUUCUAACGUUGGCCCGUA
rnacentral:rRNA from 1 species